rnacentral:rRNA from 1 species
CUACGGGAGGCAGCAGUGGGGAAUAUUGCACAAUGGGCGCAAGCCUGAUGCAGCCAUGCCGCGUGUAUGAAGAAGGCCUUCGGGUUGUAAAGUACUUUCAGCGGGGAGGAAGGGAGUAAAGUUAAUACCUUUGCUCAUUGACGUUACCCGCAGAAGAAGCACCGGCUAACUCCGUGCCAGCAGCCGCGGUAAUACGGAGGGUGCAAGCGUUAAUCGGAAUUACUGGGCGUAAAGCGCACGCAGGCGGUUUGUUAAGUCAGAUGUGAAAUCCCCGGGCUCAACCUGGGGACUGCAUCUGAUACUGGCAAGCUUGAGUCUCGUAGAGGGGGGUAGAAUUCCAGGUGUAGCGGUGAAAUGCGUAGAGAUCUGGAGGAAUACCGGUGGCGAAGGCGGCCCCCCGGACGAAGACUGACGCUCAGGUGCGAAAGCGUGGGGAGCAAACAGGAUUAGAUACCCUAGUAGUC